AGUGCCCUAAGUUCUGAAUGUUUGCUAUCUGGGUCGCCUAGUGAGGCGGCAGGAGGAAAAGGUGGCUUCUCUGUUCGGUUUUCCCUCGGGCGGAAGUCCUGUCGCCCAGUCCUUAGGAAAAUAUCCAACUGCCUUUAUGGAAGAUUGCGUGCGUGCGUUCCCUCCUCCGUGCUGCAAUCGGAGUCCCGGACGGCCUCGCAAGGGUGGAGAAGUUAACUACAUGAUGACCAGACUGUGUCCAUGACAUCAGCUGCCACAAUUCCGAGAACUGCCUUCAAGAAAUGGAAACAAACCAACCCUGGAACUGAAGAUUAACUGUACUUAAAACAAGAUGACGCUGGUCAGAUCCCUGAUGACCAAUUUCAAAAUGACUGUCAGAGCUGACUGUGCUGUUUCUGCAUGUAGCCCCCUCCCUUCACCUAUAAAAGCUCUUACCCCCUGAUUGUCAGUGGGGGGAAGUCAGCCUUUGGACAGGAGUACGCCCUCCGCCCGGUUGCCGGCAUCCAAAAUAAAGCAGACCAACCUUGCCUCUUUAUUGGCUUUUGAGGGGAGAGUAGCCAGACCCCAUUUUCAGUUACGGUAGGAUGUGUGGACAUGGAGGCACUGGUGAAGUGAGGGUGUGGUUGGCAGCACUUCAUGUCAGAGCUUGAUGUUUGUGAAGAUCUUGGCUUUUUAUUGGAGUGAGGUGGGAAGUCAAUGGAAGGUUCUGAGCCAGGCUCACUCUGGCUGCUGUGUAGGGAGACAGCAGCAAGAUCAAGGUGAUCAUAGGGAGGUCAGUCAGAAGUCUACUGCAGUAUUUAACUGAGAGAUUAAGAGUGGCUCAGAGCAGCGUGUUAGCAGUGUUGGUGGUGGCGAGUGGCCAUGUUUUUGUACGUGGGGCUUGCUGAUGGAUUGGAUGUGGGGUGAGAGAAGAGAGGUGUCAGGGAUGACUGCAAGGUUUUGGGCUUGGGUGAAAGGAAGGCUACAGUUAUCACCUGAGAGGGAAAGGAGCUGGAUUGGAGAUAAUUUAUAUGUUCCUCCAUUAGGUACAAAAUCUCACGUGAGUGCACUCGGGUAUAAUGAAGUUCUGGAGGUAAAUGAAGACGUUAAGAAUCAACUUUGGGAAGGCUAUGCAGUAAGGAUGGUGUUGAGGUAAACGAGUUACAUCUCCUUUUAUAUACAUUAAGUGACUGGUGUAGAAAACACUUUACAGCCAAAUCUGAUAACCCUUAAAUUCUUUAAUUUCCUUCUAAUCAGGGAUGGGCAGAGAUAUGAGAAAACAUGGAUAAAGAGCUAUGCAGGCAAAACUCAGUCACGGGUACCAGAGACCUUCAUUAUGAAUUAGGGUAACAAAACUUUUAUUUUUGCAAAAUUAUUGUUUUCCAUAAUGGCUGCUUUUGUAGUCAUUAUUGUGAUUGAGUGUUAUAUACAAUGAAUAUUUGGUUCUAAGAAACAAACAAAAAACCUGCUGAUGGAAAGAAUGUGUACAUGCUUGUUGAGCUGUUUAAUAAAUAACUAUUUGAUGAUGA